CCUGACCCUGUCCCUAUUUUUGCUCCCCUGACCUUGUCCCUGUUUCCCCUCAGAGCUGAGCUGCCCGGGCUGCCCCAGCUGUGCAGGAGCUGCUGCAGGAUGAAAAGAUGGCAGCGCGGCUGCUGGCACCCCCGGGCCCCGAGAGUUUCAAGCCCUUCACCCCGGAGUCUCUGGCCAACAUUGAGAAGCACAUCGCCGAGCUGAAGAAGAAGCAGCGCUCCAAGCAGGACAGCAGCCACCGGGACGACGAUGAGGACAGCAAACCCAAACCCAACAGUGACCUUGAGGCGGGCAAGAACCUGCCUUUCAUCUACGGGGACAUCCCUAAAGGGCUGGUUGCUGUGCCACUGGAGGACUUUGACCCUUAUUAUAUGACCCAGAAAGAUUAAUAGAGAUGAUCUGAUCAGUCUUUAAGGAUGGAGUUAGGAGAACAAGCUCUGAAAACUAAAAAUAGUUCAAGUUGUGCUACUGUGCCAAUUUUAACCAUCAAGGCAGUAAGAAGAAUUUAAUUGAGGGGUAACAGUGUGUGUUUCAUCACUUACAUGGAAUUCAGUCUGAACUUGAUGGUUGUGAAGCACUGGGACACAAAAUCAUGGUGAAAAAGGAGACAAAUUAACUCACUUUCAUCUUAAUUUUUAUUUGUCUGGAACUGAGGUGAUGAGACAUUUAUGAGUGCUGAGGUGUGUGAGGUGUCAUCAGGGGAGGGUUGGGAAGAUCUUGUGGGGUGAAGGGGAGGAAUGCAGUAGUGAUGGAAUGAUGAGGGCACUGGUUUGUUCAGAAGGCUGAAACUGAGAAUCUCUAGAUUUAAUUUCAUUGCUUUCUUUGAUCCAGGUCUAAUUGAGAGUCACCAUCCCCAGUGAGGCUCAGCUGUGCUCUGGGGGAGCUCAGGUGGAGCUGUGUGAGUGACAGAGCUGGGAUGUGGCUGUGUGUGAGAUCCAUGUCAGGGUGACAGAGCUGGGAUGUGGCUGUUCAGAGCUCAGCACAGCUGGAUCUGUGUGACAUCCAUGUCGUGGGUAACCAGUGUUGGAUGAAUUUUUUUUGGGACAGACGUUUGUGCCGUGCUCAGAAGUGCCUCUGUGACUGGCAGGGUGUUGUUGACACGAAAUCAGCUGAAUCUGGGGAGUGAUGAGAGUAACUGACCCUCCUUCACUGCCCUCACAGAUGAAUUUAUUGGUGUUUUUGUGUCCAGAGUGCUGACUCAGAACAGGGCUGUGAAAUUUGGGGAUCUGUUCCAUCAUGGUGCCCAGCUGACGUGGGAAGAACACUCAGCAAUACUUUUUAUUUAUUCAACAAAUAUUUUCUCUUUAUUAAACCAAUCUGCUUCUGGUGAGAGCAGGUCAUGGGAUUACAGGAUGGGUUUGGAAGGA